rnacentral:rRNA from 1 species
GACGAACGCUGGCGGCGUGCCUAAUACAUGCAAGUCGAACGCACAGUUUAUACCGUAGCUUGCUACACCAUAAACUGUGAGUUGCGAACGGGUGAGUAACGCGUAGGUAACCUGCCUGGUAGCGGGGGAUAACUAUUGGAAACGAUAGCUAAUACCGCAUCAUAUUGAUUAUUGCAUGAUAAUUGAUUGAAAGAUGCUAUUGCAUCACUACCAGAUGGAUCUGCGUUGUAUUAGCUAGUAGGGGAGGUAACGGCUCACCUAGGCGACGAUACAUAGCCGACCUGGGAGGGUGGUCGGCCACACUGGGACUGAGACACGGCCCAGACUCCUACGGGAGGCAGCAGUAGGGAAUCGUCGGCAAUGGACGGAAGUCUGACCGAGCAACGCCGCGUGAGUGAAGAAGGUUUUCGGAUCGUAAAGAUCUGUUGUAAGAGAAGAACGGGUGUGAGAGUGGAAAGUUCACACUGUGACGGUAUCUUACCAGAAAGGGACGGCUAACUACGUG